rnacentral:piRNA from 1 species
UACCACUUGUUACAUCUGUGUGAGAAUGG